GCUCUGCCUGUCCCCACCCCCACCUGGGGCCUCAUACCAUCCCACUAUCAUGGGUAGUGCCUACCACUGGGAGGCCCGGCGCCGGCAGAUGGCUUUGGACCGAAGGAGAUGGCUGAUGGCCCAGCAGCAGCAGGAGCUGCAGCAGAAAGAACAGGAACUGAAGAAUCACCAGGAGGAAGAACAACAAUCGGAGGAAAAACUCCAGCCACAUAAGAAGUUAAAUGUGCCGCAACCACCAGUGGCGAAAUUGUGGACAUCACAGGAGCAACCACAGCCAUCACAGCAGCAGCCAUCAGUGCAGCCACCAUCACAGCCACCACCACAGCCAUCAACAUUGCCACAGGCACAGGUGUGGCCAGGGCCACAGCCACCACAACCACAGCCACCACCUCAGCCAACACAACCAAGUGCUCAAGCCCGUUGUACUCAGCACACCUCCAAAUGCAAUCUCCAGGAUUCCCAAAGGCCAGGUCACCAGCCUACUUCAGCGGGGAUCUACUAAGCUGGAGGGCAAUCUCUGUAUCAACAACAGAUUCCAGGUACCCUCGGCCUUUAAUGCCUUGCUGGUCAACUCCCCCUGGGUGGGUU
rnacentral:lncRNA from 1 species